CUGCAAGAUCAAGUGGAAACUGUAACAUACUCCACGUCCAUACAGCAAGAAUUGCAUUUAUGAGAGCAUAAUUCUUCCUAUGGGAGAGGAAAGAAGUGAUAACAGUGAACAUGAAGUUUUCUUAUGCGAUAACAAAAAUGUUUCCUGUAGUAUUUGGAAUAUCAUUCAAAAGGUAGUUGAGCAAAACAGCGAUUGAUUACUGUGUUCUUCACUGCAUGAGGAGACUGCUCAAAUAAACACAAGUCAUCUCUAAUUGCUCUUCUUAUUGUAAGAUCUUAACUAGGAAUAGGAAAAGGUGUCCCACCGUUUGAAUGAUGUGGUGAUCUGUUCCCUCACUUCCAUGACUGCUGUCUCUGGAUUGAUUGAAGUCUUGGUUGCUGAUAUUCACCUGAACUGCUCCAGGCUCAUUACCACAGUACUGUUGUGAAUAAAAACAUCACACAUGCAUAAACAUCCCAUACAGGGAGCAGAUGCACUCUGUGGCUGAGAGAAUCCUGUUUUGCUGAACUGUAGAAGGUUCAUUUGUGCAAUUCGGCCAGUGUUUGCAAAGGUAGAUGCUCACCCUGAAUAUAAUUACCCUCUUGUUCAGAAGGGAGGGAUUCCUCUCAUGAGGACAGGAGAGAUGUUUUGGUAAGUCCUUGAGAAAGUAUAGGAUUUUACUGCAGAAGAGGAUGUAAAUUCAAGGACUGAUGUAGCGGGUGACAUUCCUGUGCUGUUAAGAUGGCAUUCUUUGAAUGCGAUCUGCCUGCAGCUCUCCUGAUCAGGCUACUGAGUUUCCUACAUAGUCUCUGUCUAGAUAAAAAACUGAAAUAGGGUAAGAAUUGAUCAUGGUCAGUCUGCUGGUUUAUGGUCCUGGCCAGUCUCUAUAUUCAGGCUUAAAUCUAUCUAGUAUAUAACUAGUAUACAUCUUGAAUAUAUCUAAUAUAUAUCUAAGCUGCAAUGAAUAGAUAGAGUAGGGGUGGGAUAUUUGGAUUGUAUUCUCUGCCCUCCUACACACACCCACGCACCACCACUUCACCCCAAACCCACCUCCCCUCCUCCACACCCCCCUCCCCUCAAAAAAUAAGCUGUGCCUUAUGCUGCUAGGAGGUUCAUGAUGUGAGAGGUGAGAUACAGGAAUAAUUAAGAAAAAUAGAUCUGUGUUGUUGCCUACCCCUGUAGAGUAGAGAAAAAACAGGUAUUUUUGCUUUCUCCAAGUACCCAGUGCUCCGGGAAAUAGAAUGUUCACUAAAACAUACUGUUACAUCAACUGCAGUAAACCACUAGGUCUGUAGCACUGCACUGCCCUUCUUAGUUCACAUGAUAGGCUGGCCCUGGAGCAACUGGGGUAUGGUUCUAAAAUUCUAUCUUCAUAGCAAUCCCUUAACAUCUCUUCGCAUUGUAAUAAGGGAUAAUUAGAAAAUCAAACCAUGCUGUUAUUAAAGACUUUUAUCCUGUCCUAUUUGUGCCAGAGAACACAUGAUUUGCAUUUCUCCACUGGGCCCCCCACCAUUUUAUUGCAUGGAGAGUGAUUUUAUGCAACAAUCAGAAUGUGUUCUAGUGCAUACUGAGUAGCUCUGUUCAGCCUAAUGCCUGCCAAUAUAAAGGCAACAUUUUCCAGCAAAUGCCACAUUCUAGCAAAUUUCAGAUUCUACUUUGAUGCUUUAUUUGGUCCCUGAUAACGUUGCUCAGUAUCUGGGUAAAUGCUGCUUCUUGUCACAAAUAAGUGGAGCAAAUUCC